rnacentral:rRNA from 1 species
CGAAUGCUGACAUAAGUAACGAUAAAGCGGGUGAAAAGCCCGCUCGCCGGAAGACCAAGGGUUCCUGUCCAACGUUAAUCGGGGCAGGGUGAGUCGACCCCUAAGGCGAGGCCGAAAGGCGUAGUCGAUGGGAAACAGGUUAAUAUUCCUGUACUUGGUGUUACUGCGAAGGGGGGACGGAGAAGGCUAUGUUGGCCGGGCGACGGUUGUCCCGGUUUAAGCGUGUAGGCUGGUUUUCCAGGCAAAUCCGGAAAAUCAAGGCUGAGGCGUGAUGACGAGGCACUACGGUGCUGAAGCAACAAAUGCCCUGCUUCCAGGAAAAGCCUCUAAGCAUCAGGUAACAUCAAAUCGUACCCCAAACCGACACAGGUGGUCAGGUAGAGAAUACCAAGGCGCUUGAGAGAACUCGGGUGAAGGAACUAGGCAAAAUGGUGCCGUAACUUCGGGAGAAGGCACGCUGAUAUGUAGGUGAAGCGACUUGCUCGUGGAGCUGAAAUCAGUCGAAGAUACCAGCUGGCUGCAACUGUUUAUUAAAAACACAGCACUGUGCAAACACGAAAGUGGACGUAUACGGUGUGACGCCUGCCCGGUGCCGGAAGGUUAAUUGAUGGGGUUAGCGCAAGCGAAGCUCUUGAUCGAAG